UUUACAGUCUAGUGUCUGUGGCUCCGUAAUUAAUUGUAGCUGCUGUCUCUUAUCGACGUGUUUUUAGAGAACAUGAAGUAGUUGUUUUUUUUUACUACAGGAGUUGCCAGCGGAUGAGAUUGAGGUCCAACUGUGCUGCUGCUGUUGCUAUUUUACUUAUGUGUGAUGUUGGAUAUGGGAGAAAGGAAAGAAGUGAAAAUGAUUCCUAAAUCAUCGUUCAGUAUAAACAGCCUGGUGCCUGAAGCCGUCCAAAGUGACAACCACCACAGAUCAGCCCCCGAAGAACAGGAGAAACAUCUUUUGCCCAACCCGGUGCAGGACUCAAAGCCCGAGAACAUUGACAAUACGAAUGAAAAUAGUUCGCCCGAGUUACCUUGCUCGGAAGAAAAGGAAAAGCAGGAAGAGAAAAAAGUGGAGUGCAAAGAAGGGGACGGUGGUAAAGACGGGGAAAAGAAAAAUGGCAAAUAUGAAAAACCACCUUUCAGCUACAACGCUUUAAUCAUGAUGGCUAUUAGACAAAGCCCGGAGAAACGAUUGACACUUAAUGGCAUCUACGAAUUUAUAAUGAAAAAUUUCCCUUAUUAUAGAGAAAACAAACAGGGCUGGCAAAACUCCAUCAGACACAACCUGAGCCUCAACAAAUGUUUCGUAAAAGUUCCAAGACACUACGACGACCCUGGUAAAGGGAACUACUGGAUGCUGGACCCUUCUAGCGACGAUGUGUUCAUAGGUGGCACAACUGGAAAACUUCGUAGGAGAUCGACAACCUCUAGAGCCAAACUGGCUUUUAAACGGGGAGCUCGUCUUACUUCUACGGGUCUGACAUUUAUGGAUAGGGCCGGUUCCUUGUACUGGCCAAUGUCUCCUUUCCUUUCGCUCCAUCAUCCCCGGGCCAGCAGUGCUUUGAGUUACAAUGGGACGACCGCUGCUUACCCUAGCCACCCAAUGUCUUACAGCUCGUUAUUGACUCAGAACACUUUGGGAAACAACCACUCAUUUUCUGCCACAAAUGGGCUAAGUGUAGAUAGACUUGUAAAUGGAGACAUUCCUUAUGCCACUCAUCACCUCACAGCAGCAGCCUUGGCUGCCUCCGUGCCAUGUGGUUUAUCAGUGCCCUGCUCAGGCACGUAUUCCUUAAACCCUUGUUCAGUAAAUCUUUUAUCAGGACAGGCAAGUUACUUUUUCCCUCAUGUCCCACACCCUUCAAUGACUUCUCAAAGCAGCACUUCAAUGACGGCCAGGGCAGCCUCCUCCACGUCUCCACAGGCUCCUUCAUCUCUCGCCUGUGAGUCUUUAAGACCCUCUUUGCCAAGUUUCACUACAGGCCUUUCUGGAGGACUUUCUGAUUACUUCCCACAUCACAGUCAGGGGUCUACUUCAAACCCUCUUAUACACUAACAAACUGGAUCAGACUAUAAGAAUGUGCGUUGACCGUCUCACAGGAGAUUUACCCUAUGUGUGGCAAUACAGCAAAAUGGAACUGUCCUAUUUCAGCAAAAAAAAAAAACCAAACAUUGCAUGAUGUCUGUAAAUUCUGCAUGUAUAUGUUGUUACUGCAAGUGAUUGUAUUUGUUAACGUGAAAACCCUUGUGGUUUGUGAAAGUUUAGAAUAUCAUGUAUAAGAUGAUGUUUUUGUAGGCCUAUACGUGGGACAACAUUGCUGGUAAUUGUAAAUCACAUGACUUGAAUAGCAGCUUCAUACAGUUCAGACUUAUUUCCAUGACAGCUAUCCAGUAUCUUAAUAUAAUGUAAACAGCAUGUUCCAAUACCGGCAUGAAAUGUGAAAUGCUGGUGUCAUUUAUGUUCUGAAUAUUCCAUCUAUUCUAUCAAGCUUUAAUUAAUUGGUCGCUUUCAGAAAUAAUUUGACAUAUCGUUUAGUAAGCAUGUAAGAUGCGGUGAAAUAUCUGUUGCACUCCUAUAAUGAGACAUUAUUAUAAUAAAAAAAAAUACUCACCAUUUUUUAUUGGCUGUUAUAAGUAACCUCUUUUUUGGGGGGACUAUCUUUGUUAUCCUAAAGUGUUCUCCCUGUAACAGCUACUCUUCUAUGACGUAAACACAUAAAACACACCGACAUGCACAUGGUAUGUACAGAAACACAAACUGUCCGCAGAAUUGCUGAAGGUUGAGAUAUAUUAAAUAUUCUCAUGUUUUUUUAAUAAAUGAAGGGUGUGUGAGUUUGCUUGUAAUUGUAAUUAUGUUUCUAUUCCUGCAAUAAAUGUUUGGAAACUUCUUCUAGACCUUCAUGGAAGAUUUUAAGCUUAUCUCUCCUGCAACGUUUUCACAUCUGCGGGCUUGUAGUGAAAACAUGAAGGGGCUCAUGGGAAUACAAUACAUUUACAAAUCUCUACAAUCUAUGGUAUGACAGUGCUGGAAUUGUUUCUUUUCAACUACCGUCUAACACAGUAAGCAAUAUUGGGGGAAAAAAUACAUAUGUAUUUGUGAAUCAAAAUAGAAAACUUUCUUGACAAUUGUAAUUUUUAAAAUGUAUUUCUGUUAGAAAAAUAGGGCUUACAUCGUGCUGAAGUUUUAUUUUCUAUAUUUAUUUAAACUUUUAUUAUUAUUAUUAUUAUUAUUAUUAUUAUUAUUAUUAUUAUUAUUAUUAAAAGAUAGGCCUAUCUGUAGAAUUUAAAUAUUUAAUCUCAUUUGCAUGGGGGUCCAAUGUCUCUCACAGAAAGAUGAAUUUGAAAAUAAUUACCUUAAAUAUGGACAUUUCAUGGUCUUUUUAUGUUUCUGUUGUCUGUACAAGGAGUCCUUCAAGAGAGUAUUUCAUUUGGUCUUGGUGACCUGUAUUGGGAAUACCUGUCCAUGGAAAUGGAGAUGCAUAUUAUAUCAAAGUUCUGAAUCUGACAGGUAAAUUAGAUUUCCACCGCUAAAAGGGAAUGAUCAAAAAGAAAAAAAGGUCACAAUCUAGCUUUGACAUGAACCCUUAUAUAAAGGAAACGCACACUUGCACUCAUUUGCCUCAGCAUCUGAAGAGCCCCGUCAAAUCAAGAUAACCUUUAACCCCUUUAAAAUACACCCAUUCUCAGUGCUAAAUAUUGUCGUUUGUUUUAAAGCGAAAUGGGAAAGUUCUUCCAAAAUGGUAUAAAUAUAAAUAUC